GCAGGCGUUGGAGGGGUGCUGGGAAGGCUGCUCCCAGAAGCCCCAGGACACUGUGUCCUGACCCCUAAGGACAGCGGUGCAACAGAGGCAGUUUUGGCUGAAAACAUUCAUUUGCAUCUUGUGUUUACAGUGGGAUGCAACAGGGCAGGGUGACUCAUGCCUGCCUCGUGACACAACCCAAAUUGUCCCUGGCAGCAGGGACUGGGCGGAGGGGACUUUAAACCCAGUCAGUGUGGUUCAGCCCUUGCUCCAGGCUAGAGAUCACCCAGUUCAGCGAGUAGCGCCCUUCUGUGAGUCCUGAUCCCCUCCCUGGAGGGUGGGCAGCUGGUGUAGACAGACGUGGGGGGUUCAAGAUCCCUAGCAGCUGGGAAGGUCCCUUUGGGGAGGCAUCCUGACGACCUAGUGUGGGCUCCCCAUUUGGCCUGCUCCCAGCACCAUCUGUCUUCACAGCAUCACCUUCUGUGACGACUUCUUUCUUGGUCUAUUGAACUGUUCAGUGUUAAUGUCUGACACCAAGGAGCACGGCCCAGCAGGGACAUCGCUGAGGUGGGGAGACGCUGGACAGCUCACAGAGGGCUGAUGGUUCCUCGGGCGAUGACUCAGGAUGCAGCCAGGGGCCACGACGUGCACGGAGGACCGUAUCCAGCAUGCCCUGGAGCGCUGCCUACAUGGGCUCAGCCUCAGCCGCUGCUCCACCUCCUGGUC